UCAAAGUUUUUUUCUGGCUUAUGAUUUAUAUAUAUAAUGUUAUUUUUAAAUGCAAAAUUUAAUGUAAUUUGAAAGUUUUAAAUAAUUAUUAAAAUUGCAGUAUAAAAAAUUAAUAAUUAAUGAAAAUUAGAAUUAGUAAUAAAAUUUAGUACUAACAAAUUUUGUGCCAGCAGAAGCGGUUAAACAGAGAGUGCAAUAUAAAUAGGUUGGUAAUAAUUAAUUUGUAAUAAAAGCUUAAAAAGGAGUUCUUUAAGUGAAAUUUUGAAUUUUUUAAAGCUUGGUAUUUGUUAAUGAAGUUGAGAAAUUCAGUAUUAAACUAGGAUUAGAUACCCUAUUAUUUUGAAUGUAAAAUUGUUGCCUAGUUAGUAAAAGUUAUGUUCUUUAAAUUUAAAGAAUUUGGCGGUAUUUUAGUCUUUUCAGAGGAACCUGUUCUAUAAUUGAUAGUCCACAAUGAAAAUUACUUAUUUUAAUAAUUUAUAUAUCGUCGUAGGUUGAAUGUUUUUGUAGAAUGAUAAUGUUCAGGAUUUUAAAAAAGAAAAUAAAUCAGAUCAAGGUGUAGUUUAUAAAUAAGAAGAAAUGGGUUACAUUAAAUAAAUUUUUUGGAUGAUUAGUUUAAAAUUAAUUUGAAAAUGGAUUUGAAAGUAAUUUUAAUUAUUUAAUUAAUAUGAUUAUAGCUCUAAAAUAUGCACAUAUCGCCCGUCAUUUCCAUUACAAAGUGGAACAAGUCGUAACAUAGUAGGUGUACUGGAAAGUGUACCUAGAUUGAC
rnacentral:ncRNA from 1 species